UCUUCCGCAAUGGGCGAAAGCCUGACGGAGCAACGCCGCGUGAGGGAUGAAGGUUUUCGGAUCGUAAAGCUCUGUUGCCAAGGAAGAACGUCUUCUAGAGUAACUGCUAGGAGAGUGACGGUACUUGAGAAGAAAGCCCCGGCUAACUACGUGCCAGCAGACGCGGUAAUACGCAGGGGGCAAGCGUUGUCCGGACUUAUUGGGCGUAAAGCGCGCGCAGUCGGUUCUUUAAGUCUGGUGUUUAAACCCGAGGCGCAACUUCGGGUCGCACUGGAAACUGGGGGACUUGGGUGCAGAAGAGGAGAGUGGAAUUCCACGUGUAGCGGUGAAAUGCGUAGAUAUGUGGAGGAGCACCAGUGGCGAAGGCGACUCUCUGGGCUGUAACUGACGCUGAGGCGCGAAAGCGUGGGGAGCAAACAGG
rnacentral:rRNA from 1 species